AAGAUAAUUAUAAAUAUAGCUGGAGAGAUUUAUAACAAACUGUCAGACUCCAUGAAUAAAGGGGUCUAAGAGCUAGUAAAUUAUGAUUGCUAGGUUUCAAAAAGGUUUAUAAAUGUACCUGUUAGCUCGAAUGUUCAUGCUUUGAUUAUAUGUGUUCUAAUCACUCAAAAAAUUUAUUCUGUCCUAGAAGAUACUAAAACCCAGGUAAUCAUGCAGGAAAAAUCUGUUAACAAAUAUGCUAGAUUACGAUUCCUUUUGCUGGGAUCCACCAGAUUUUGUCUAUAGAAACAUGUAUUAAAGCUUAAUAUAACUGUCCACCUGAUAGAGCCCAGGUGAUCUGAGCCUUCUCUGGGUUUCCUGCCUCAUUACGAGAAAAGCUAUAUUCAUGUUCCUUGGGCAAGACAACCUACAGGAACCAAGAAGUUGUACCUUAUGCAGUGGACCCCAGAUAUCUGACACAAGCUGCAAAAGUUAAAAGGUUUUACAAAAAUAAAUUUGUCUGAGUUGAGGUGUUUCAUAGUAAAAAGGAUACAGAAUGAAAUUAUAAAUAAAAAAUGAGAGUGUUGAUACUAGUAGCCUACAAAAAAGAAGGCCCACACAGAGAGA